UAUGGAUCCAAACUCCAUCACUGUGAUAAAUGCCCCUGCUACAACAACUGUUCCUGCUACAAUUGCCAUAACAACGGCACCUCCUCCAGUGGUGGAAUUACAAGUCACCUUGCAGCAAGUUUUUGUACCAGCCUUGACUGACCCUCAAAGCACAGAAUUCAAAACACUAURAGWAACCAUUACUACAAUUUGUUACACAAUCUUCCGACAAAGAUAUGGGCUUAGUUUCGUUCAGACGACAGUUACUCAAUUCAGACCUGUGCCCCGUCUCGGUCAGGAWCCUUACACAGAGGUGGAMRUGGAACUGGAGUUCAAUGCGACCUCCACUGUACCUAUCCCCAAGGGCAGUGACAUUGUUGAUACAUUGAAAGAGGCUUUGACCAAUCCAAACUCUACCUUCAACUUCUCUGUGGAUCUGAACUCCAUCACUGUGAUAAGGACCCCAAGCACAGCCACAGAUGUCUCGACAAAUACAACAGCUACACCUGUUGCAAGAUCAACAACAAGAGGA